rnacentral:lncRNA from 1 species
GACCUUAUUGUGUCAACCUCACUGCCAUCAAGUCACAACAUUGGGUGGGGUUAGGUGAACCAUAUCCUCACAUUCUUCACCUUGGUUCUCCUAACACUCUCUCUUGGUUGCGAAUUUGCACAUGGAAGAACUGUUCAUCAUCAUCGCCCACCACCUGCAAGAAAAUUAACCAGUGUCAAUGUGUAAUAAAGAUAAGCACAAUCUAAAUUUACUUGCAGGUAGAAUUUUUGUUCCCAUAUCAGAGGGAUUCCUAUCAGUGUGAAUUUUAACAAGAUUAACUUCACCUUGAAACAGUUUCUCACAUAUAAAAUGAUACUUUACCUCAAUAUGUUUAGUUCUUUCAUGGUAAACAGGAUUUUUACAAAACAAU